UACGAAGGGGGCUAGCGUUGCUCGGAAUCACUGGGCGUAAAGCGCACGUAGGCGGAUUGCUAAGUCAGGGGUGAAAUCCUGGAGCUCAACUCCAGAACUGCCUUUGAUACUGGCGAUCUCGAGUCCGGGAGAGGUGAGUGGAACUGCGAGUGUAGAGGUGAAAUUCGUAGAUAUUCGCAAGAACACCAGUGGCGAAGGCGGCUCACUGGCCCGGUACUGACACUGAGGUGCGAAAGCGUGGGGGAGCAAACAGG
rnacentral:rRNA from 1 species